rnacentral:rRNA from 1 species
GAUGAACGCUGGCGGCGUGCCUAAUACAUGCAAGUCGAGCGAACGGACGAGAAGCUUGCUUCUCUGAUGUUAGCGGCGGACGGGCGAGUAACACGUGGAUAACCUACCUAUAAGACUGGGAUAACUUCGGGAAACCGGAGCUAAUACCGGAUAAUAUUUUGAACCGCAUGGUUCAAAAGUGAAAGACGGUCUUGCUGUCACUUAUAGAUGGAUCCGCGCUGCAUUAGCUAGUUGGUAAGGUAACGGCUUACCAAGGCAACGAUGCAUAGCCGACCUGAGAGGGUGAUCGGCCACACUGGAACUGAGACACGGUCCAGACUCCUACGGGAGGCAGCAGUAGGAAAUCUUCCGCAAUGGGCGAAAGCCUGACGGAGCAACGCCGCGUGAGUGAUGAAGGUCUUCGGAUCGUAAAACUCUGUUAUUAGGGAAGAACAUAUGUGUAAGUAACUGUGCACAUCUUGACGGUACCUAAUCAGAAAGCCACGGCUAACUACGUG